GCCUGGUUGGCUCAGUUGGUAGAGCAUGUGACUCUUGACCUCAGGGUCACGGGUUCCAGCCCCACAUCGGGCA
rnacentral:tRNA from 1 species